rnacentral:rRNA from 1 species
CCUACGGGAGGCAGCAGUGGGGAAUAUUGGUCAAUGGGCGGGAGCCUGAACCAGCCAAGCCGCGUGAGGGAAGAAGGUACAGCGUAUCGUAAACCUCUUUUGUCAGGGAACAAAGGCGGGGACUAGUCCCCGGAUGAGGGUACCUGAAGAAAAAGCAUCGGCUAACUCCGUGCCAGCAGCCGCGGUAAUACGGGGGAUGCGAGCGUUAUCCGGAUUUAUUGGGUUAAAAGGGGGCGCAGGCGGCCUGUUAAGUCAGCGGGAAAAGCCCGGGGCUCAACCCCGGCGAGCCGUUGAAACUGGCGGGCUGGAGUUGGAGAGAAGUACGCGGAAUGCGCGGUGUAGCGGUGAAAUGCUUAGAUAUCGCACAGAACCCCGAUUGCGAAGGCAGCGUACCGGCUCCACACUGACGCUGAGGCACGAAAGCGUGGGUAUCGAACAGGAUUAGAUACCCUUGUAGUC